rnacentral:ncRNA from 20 species
AUCACAUUGCCAGGGAUUUCCAA